UGCACCUUGCGCUCCUUGGUAUUCCGAGGAGCAUGCCUGUUUGAGUGUCUUGAAAUCAUCAAACCCCUCCGGUUUCUUGCCUGGAGCGGGUUUGGACUUGGGGGUUUUUGCUGCCUUUACCGGUGGCUCCCGUUAAAUGAAUCGGUCAGGCUUUUCGUGUGGCUUGUCGUUUGGCGUUGUAUCAACCUCGUCGCUGGAUGGCUCGCGAGCUUUAGCGCCCCUCCAAGACCAGCCUCUGGAGCGGCAGUCAACUUCAAUUUGUGAUCUGACCUCAAAUCAGGUAGGACUACCCGCUGAACUUAA
rnacentral:misc_RNA from 1 species